GACGAACGCUGGCGGCGUGCUUAACACAUGCAAGUCGAACGGUCACGCCCUGCUUUUGUGGGGUGCUCGAGUGGCGAACGGGUGAGUAACACGUGAGUAACCUGCCCUUGACAUUGGGAUAACUUCAUGCAACUGGGGCUAAUACCGGAUAGGAGCUCCUGCUGCAUGGUGGGGGUUGGCAAGUUUCGGCGGAUGGGGAUGGACUCGCGGCUUAUCAGCUUGUUGGUGGGGUAGUGGCUUACCAAGGCUUUGACGGGUAGCCGGCCUGAGAGGGUGACCGGCCACAUUGGGACUGAGAUACGGCCCAGACUCCUACGCGAGGCAGCAGUGGAGAAUAUUGCACAAUGGGCGGAAGCCUGAUGCAGCAACGCCGCGUGCGGGAUGACGGCCUGCGGGUUGUAAACCGCUUUCGCCUGUGACGAAGCGUGAGUGACGGUAAUGGGUAAAGAAGCACCGGCUAACUACGUG
rnacentral:rRNA from 1 species